CCGGCCGGCGUCCCGGGCGCAUUGCGAGACGGCCCUAGGGAUUGUGGCGGUGGGAUCCUCUGGCGUGUUUUCCCAGUGGCCUGGUCGCG
rnacentral:pre_miRNA from 1 species